rnacentral:rRNA from 1 species
AUUGAACGCUGGCGGCGUGCCUAACACAUGCAAGUCGAGCGGUAACAGGUGUAGCAAUACAUGCUGACGAGCGGCGGACGGGUGAGUAACGCUUGGGAAUCUGCCUAUUAGUGGGGGACAACCCGGGGAAACGUCGGGCUAAUACCGCAUACGCACUACGGUGGAAAGCCGGGGACCGCAAGGCCUGGCGCUAACAGAUGAGCCCAAGUCGGAUUAGCUAGUUGGUAGGGUAACGGCCUACCAAGGCGACGAUCCGUAACUGGUCUGAGAGGACGACCAGUCACACCGGAACUGAGACACGGUCCGGACUCCUACGGGAGGCAGCAGUGGGGAAUAUUGGACAAUGGGCGAAAGCCUGAUCCAGCGACGCCGCGUGGGUGAAGAAGGCCUGCGGGUUGUAAAGCCCUUUCAGUGGGGAAGAAAAGACCUCGAGCUAACACCUCGGGGUCUUGACGUAACCCAUAGAAGAAGCACCGGCUAACUCUGUGCCAGCAGCCGCCGUAAU